AACCUGCCUCUUGGUUCGGAAUAACUGCGGGAAACUGCAGCUAAUACCGGAUACGCCCUACGGGGGAAAGAUUUAUUGCCGAGAGAGGGGCCCGCGUCCGAUUAGGUAGUUGGUGGGGUAAUGGCCUACCAAGCCGACGAUCGGUAGCUGGUCUGAGAGGAUGAUCAGCCACACUGGGACUGAGACACGGCCCAGACUCCUACGGGAGGCAGCAGUGGGGAAUAUUGGACAAUGGGCGCAAGCCUGAUCCAGCAAUGCCGCGUGAGUGAUGAAGGCCUUAGGGUUGUAAAGCUCUUUCGGCGGGGACGAUGAUGACGGUACCCGCAGAAGAAGCCCCGGCUAACUUCGUGCCAGCAGCCGCGGUAAUACGAAGGGGGCUAGCGUUGUUCGGAAUUACUGGGCGUAAAGGGCGCGUAGGCGGCCUAGCAAGUUAGAAGUGAAAGCCCCGGGCUCAACCUGGGAAUUGCUUUUGAUACUGCUUGGCUUGAGUUCGGGAGAGGUGAGUGGAAUUCCCAGUGUAGAGGUGAAAUUCGUAGAUAUUGGGAAGAACACCAGUGGCGAAGGCGGCUCACUGGACCGACACUGACGCUGAG
rnacentral:rRNA from 1 species